AGAAGAGAGCUCUGAAAAGUACUUAUUUACCCAGGCACAUUUCAGUAUUAUAAAAUUUUAUUAACAUCCUCAGGAACCCAAACGCCCACCUUGAUACCUAUGGGAGAUUUUUUUUUUUUUACUCAAUUAUGAAUAUACGUGCUUUAAGGAUGAGCUAUGAAGUCUUUUUAGACUAAAUGCCUUGAUAAAAUAAUGAAUAUUAAAUACGUCUCCGAGCCACAAAAAGGACUGAUCACAACACAGUGUCUGUAGUAGCUGAGGAGUGCCCCCUACAGUCGAACGUGCACAACGCAAGCAGAUGACCAGGAAAGAACAGAGCCGCAGUGUUUGAGGAUUCUCAGUAAGGCGGCAGUGAAAGAAAGGCUCGUUGUUACCCAUUGCGGGAUGGAUGAUUGGAAUUGGUAUUUUGAUUUCCUGCCUCAAAAUGAGAUCUCUCAGCCAUGGGAAACAUCAAAGUGUGAACACACAAGUCAUCACUAGAAAAGAGUAUACCAGGUGGGUCUCAGUGCUGCAUGAGCAGCUGUAGAAGCAAGGUCUGGAGAAGGAGCCAAUGUUGCCCACAGCCACAGGCCAGUGCCUGCCAUCUCCAUUGCUUGUAAAUUACAUCAGGGUUGAGCCUUGGUAAAAACCAGAAGUCCUACGGGCACAGGAAGAAGGGAAGGUUUAAGCUUCAUGACAAGGAGUCUUCAACAUGGAAGUGGACCACACUGAUGCUCAAAAGUAGACCUGCAUUCAAAGAUCAAUAAAGGUCAUUCCUUAGAUAUGAA